UACGUAGGGUGCGAGCGUUAAUCGGAAUUACUGGGCGUAAAGCGUGCGCAGGUGGUCAUGCAAGACAGAUGUGAAAUCCCCGGGCUUAACCUGGGAACUGCAUUUGUGACUGCACGGCUAGAGUGCGGCAGAGGGGGAUGGAAUUCCGCGUGUAGCAGUGAAAUGCGUAGAUAUCUGGAGGAAUACCGGUGGCGAAGGCGGCAUCCUGGACCGACAUUGACGCUGAGGAGCGAAAGCUAGGGGAGCAAACGGG
rnacentral:rRNA from 1 species